rnacentral:rRNA from 1 species
GAUGAGCGCUGGCGGCGUGCCUAAUACAUGCAAGUCGAGCGAACGGACGAGAAGCUUGCUUCUCUGAUGUUAGCGGCGGACGGGUGAGUAACACGUGGAUAACCUACCUAUAAGACUGGGAUAACUUCGGGAAACCGUAGCUAAUACCGGAUAAUAUUUUGAACCGCAUGGUUCAAAAGUGAAAGACGGUCUUGCUGUCACUUAUAGAUGGAUCCGCGCUGCAUUAGCUAGUUGGUAAGGUAACGGCUUACCAAGGCAACGAUGCAUAGCCGACCUGAGAGGGUGAUCGGCCACACUGGAACUGAGACACGGUCCAGACUCCUACGGGAGGCAGCAGUAGGGAAUCUUCCGCAAUGGGCGAAAGCCUGACGGAGCAACGCCGCGUGAGUGAUGAAGGUCUUCGGAUCGUAAAACUCUGUUAUUAGGGAAGAACAUAUGUGUAAGUAACUGUGCACAUCUUGACGGUACCUAAUCAGAAAGCCACGGCUAACUACGUG